AUUGAACGCUGGCGGCAUGCCUUACACAUGCAAGUCGAACGGUAACAGGUCUUCGGAUGCUGACGAGUGGCAAACGGGUAAGUAAUACAUCGGAACGUGCCUAGUAGUGGGGGAUAACUACGCGAAAGAGUGGCUAAUACCGCAUGAGAUCUACGGAUGAAAGCAGGGGAUCGCAAGACCUUGUGCUACUAGAGCGGCCGAUGGCAGAUUAGGUAGUUGGUGGGAUAAAAGCCAACCAAGCCGACGAUCUGUAGCCGGUCUGAGAGGACGAUCAGCCACACUGGGACUGAGACACGGCCCAGACUCCUACGGGAGGCAGCAGUGGGGAAUUUUGGACAAUGGGCGCAAGCCUGAUCCAGCAAUGCCGCGUGCAGGAUGAAGGCCUUCGGGUUGUAAACUGCUUUUGUACGGAACGAAAAGCCCUGGGUUAAUACCCUGGGGUCAUGACGGUACCGUAAGAAUAAGCACCGGCUAACUACGUGCCAGCCGCCGCGGUAACAC
rnacentral:rRNA from 1 species